GCACAUUCCUCUCGCCUCCCCCGUUGCGAGUGACACAGAACGCAGCGCGGGUGCGCGCGCGGCAGAUUCACUACGUUAAUCUAGGAUGACUGAAGGCUGCAGAGAUUCAGGCAGAGGGUGGCAGUGACAACACCAAACGAAGACUCUCUUCCAUUUCUGCAGCUGGAGAUCAGACUCCUGGAAAAGAGCAAGGGCCAUCUGGGUGGAAGACAGCACUGUUUUGAUUGUAUAUGGCUAGGGAUCGUAAAGUAGCCUUAGUCCUUCAGUGCAUGCAAGGACUCAUCCAUGGUCUCCGAGAAAAGUUUACAAACAAACAUCAAAAGGGAGGGCCUCCUCAGUGUUCAGGACUUCUCUCAGAAACCCUAAGAGUUGGAGUCAUGAUCCCCUCCACGCAACUACCACUCAAUGAUUGGCCCUCUAAGAUGAUGGAUUGAAAUUGCUCCCGCUGUUCCUGUGGCAGAUGUUCAAUAAAGGAAAACGUGACUGCCGUCACAUCGUCUGGAAAACUGGU